AAGAACCUUGUAAAAACAACAACACACGGUUAUACUUCCUCUCUCUCUAUUCACAGUAAAACCCCUUUCUUCCUCUCCCUCCAAGAUCCGAUUUCGUCUCUCUCUUUCUCCCACACCACGAAUCCGACUUCCUCUCUUCUUCUCAGGUCCGAACCACUUCCAUCUCUCACGCAUAGAAACUUUUUCCGAACUCUCUUCUUCUCCUCUCAAAAGAUUCGUCUGCCUCCUCUCUCAACAAGAAAAAAAAAGGUCCGUCCCUUCCCUUUCUCUUCACCAUCAGAUCCGGCCAUUACUCCUCCAUUGCUGAACAUACGGCCCACUCACUUUCAGUCCAGAUGCCAUCUCCAGAAAAGACUCUGUUUUAGCGGAAAACAAAAAUGGCAAAUCAAUUUAAAUACAGUACAACAAUGGCAAGGCAAAAUAUUCCAUGGCAAAGAAAAA